AGUAUGACAGCUGUUAAGCAAGUGUAGAGAGCAUCGAGGCUAAAACUGGGACAGGGAGGCACAGGGCUCUGGGGAGAGAGGCUGAAAAAAAGGAGAUGACUCAGCACCAAUGCCAGAAGCCAUGUUGGAGAAAUACAGGUCAUUUGAUAAUCCAGAAGUUCAAGUCUUUUUCAGCAUGUUAUGGUUAUUUACAGUGUGUGCCAUGAAUUACACAGGAUGAACUGGGGAGCUGCUAGGUACCAGGGAUCAAACUCGGGACCUUGCGCUUGCGAGGCAGGCGGCAGAACCACUGAGCUACAUUCCUGGCCAUUAAACAGAGAAUAUUUAAUGGAAUAAUUAUUAAGGGAGAAUUUUGUGCAGUGGCGAAGUGGCGAUACAGAGAGAAAGGAAGCACUGGCCUGCAGCAGCAGUUUCACCUCGCAGCCCUGGGAUACUUAUCUCUGUGCAAACACCAGCAACCAAAAGUAACUUUUGAAGUUGUGAUCAUAUUAAAGUAAUGCUAAUGAUUUUAGGUGCCUGAGUAACUUUAUUUAUUAACCAAGCA
rnacentral:lncRNA from 1 species